rnacentral:piRNA from 1 species
UAACCUGGUCCUGGUAGUUGGAUUCCACCUC